CCCUUAGAUGUUCUGGGCCGCACGCGCGCUACACUGACGAAGUCAGCGAGCAUGUCCUACGCCGACAGGUGCGGGGAAUCUUGUCAAACUUCGUCGUGAUGGGGAUUGAUUAUUGAAAUUCUUGAUCAUCAACGAGGAAUUCCUAGUAAGCGCAAGUCAGCAGCUUGCGUUGAUUACGUCCCUGCCCUUUGUACACACCGCCCGUCGCUACUACCGAUUGAAUGGUUUAGUGAGAUCUUCGGAUUGGCGCCACUGCGGCUCAGCAAUGGGCUCGGCGGAUGCCGAAAAGUUGAUCAAACUUGAUCAUUUAGAGGAAGUAAAAGUCGUAACA
rnacentral:rRNA from 1 species